rnacentral:tRNA from 1 species
GCGGACAUAGCUCAGUUGGGAGAGCGUCAGACUGAAGUGGGUUUCUAACUCUUCAAACUUCAAUCAUUUAAUCUGAAGGUCGUGUGUUCAAUCCACACUGGCCGCA